GUGACUGUAGUUCAGUUGGUUAGAGCGUCAGAUUGUGGUUCUGAAUGUCGUGGGUUCGAGUCCCAUCAGUCACCCCA
rnacentral:tRNA from 7 species